AACGAACGCUGGCGGCAUGCCUAACACAUGCCAGUCGAACGAGACCUUCGGGUCUAGUGGCGCACGGGUGCGUAACGCGUGGGAACCUGCCCUUAGGUUCGGAAUAACUCCCCGAAAGGGGUGCUAAUACCGGAUAAUGUCUUCGGACCAAAGAUUUAUCGCCUUUGGAUGGGCCCGCGUUGGAUUAGCUAGUUGGUAGGGUAAAAGCCUACCAAGGCGACGAUCCAUAGCUGGUCUGAGAGGAUGAGCAGCCACACUGGGACUGAGACACGGCCCAGACUCCUACGGGAGGCAGCAGUGGGGAAUAUUGGACAAGGGGCGAAAGCCUGAUCCAGCAAUGCCGCGUGAGUGAUGAAGGCCUUAGGGUUGUAAAGCUCUUUUACCCGGGAUGAUAAUGACAGUACCGGGAGAAUAAGCUCCGGCUAACUCCGUG
rnacentral:rRNA from 1 species